UCUAUUUAUGGUGUUUAUACAUUGCCCAAAUAGCCAUAUCCUUGGGGCAGUUCACAAAUUCAUUUACCUGUAAUGAGAUGGAUAUUCAAUUCAUAUGACUUUUUAUUCUUGUUCUACAGCAUGAUCCUGUUCUAUGCUAGGAUUCUCAAAUGUGAAGCAAAUCUCUCUAGAAGACAUAAGCUAUUGGCAAGGGGGUUGUUAAUAGCAAACACGUCUGCUUCAGACUACUGCUUUGGGAAGUAGGAACAGCCCAGAUGUGCUGCAAGUUAUGUCUCUGCAGGCUGAAGAAGAAAAGAAUGCUGCAGUUAGCAUUCAGAAAGUUAUCUCUCCAGUAGGAACAACUUUCUGUAUGAAGACUUGCAUUCUAUACAAACUGGUAGCUUGAAAGAACACCCCCAGCCAUCACACACCAGGAAAGGUUCCUGCUCACCACUAAUGAGUUGAUUCUCUUCCAAUCAUGUCUUUGAGGCUUUCAGCAGAUGUCACCUCAUGAAUACAUUGACUGCAUCAGGGGUUUGCAAGCACAACUACAGCACAACUUCUGCACAUGAUUUCGCUUCCAGAAAAUCUAACAGAGAAAGGGAAGACUUGACUCCAUCAUGGGCUGAGCAAUUUCCAGCUGCUUGGCCCCACGCACUUGCCUCAAAGGAAAUUCAGUGGGUUCUGCUGCCUAAUAGGCAGAGGUCAAAGCUCAGCACCAGAGAAGACCAAGGAGGAGGGCUCAACAUGCCAAAUGAAUAAUCCUGGCACGAUGAUAUUUCUGUUACAAACCUGAAUGUAAUUUUUAGGCUGAAAAUCCCUUGUAAUCCCUUGAGAACCUGUCAGAGCUAUAUA